GUUUUCCUCAUGUCACUUACACAUGUUAGCCUUUUUUUUUUCCUCUGCGACACCUGUCUUCUAUUCCACUUCAUUUCGAUGUUUUCAAUUCUUUCUUGGUUCUUCAGUGCAUUAUUGCUCUGUAAAUUUUCUUUUGCUUUCAUUUUUUGUCCUUCCUUAAAAAUGGAAUUAUAAGGAUAGCUAAACAAGACAUAUAUUGCAUUCCUGUCUUUACUGAAUUGAGAAAGAAGGGGAAAAAGCUUGGUAUGUUCAGCCGAAUAAUGUAACGUCUGAGGACUACUUUACAAUCUUUUUGUUUGUCUA